rnacentral:tRNA from 1 species
GCGAGAGUGGCGGAACUGGCAGACGCGCGGGUCUUAGGAGCCCGUGGGUAACCGUGGGGGUUCAAGUCCCCCCUCUCGCACCA